rnacentral:lncRNA from 1 species
AAGCCAUCUCAAGUGAAGACCCAAAGAUCUUCAACCAAGCUGGGCAAGUGUUCAACCAUUGAGCUACACCCCCGACCCUCCCUUCCGUUUGGCUGCAACAAUAAACCAGUUGUGUCUAGGAGAUCCAACGCCGGUCAAGCCGCUCUACCCACUGAGCCAUCUGGCUGCCUGUCAAGAAGACAAACUUCUGUUGCGCAGUGCUCAGGCACCUGUGAAGACAGGAACUUGGGGAUGAAUGAGGAGAGAGCCUAGAGAGAAAGGGCCCUCGUCUGGCGCACAGAGUCCCUGAACAGAUUUGGACUGGCUUAGCAUGACCAGCAGUCUCAGCCAUAGACGCGUUCUCUCUCUCUCUCUCUCUCUCUCUCUCUCUCUCUCUCUCUCCUGCCUGUCCAGAAAUAGUUUCCGGGAACCGAGGUGCUUCCCCGCCAGCCAGCGGGGAGAUAAAGCUGCCCGUGUGUGUCGCUUGUCUUGGCUGCCUCUCAGUUGACACCUCUGACAGGCCGCUUUGAUCUCGGGUUAUCAAGGCCUAACCCCGAGCCUGGCCUGCUCUGCCAGCCCUCACUCACU